rnacentral:rRNA from 1 species
UACAGAGGGGGCAAGCGUUGUUCGGAAUUACUGGGCGUAAAGGGCGCGUAGGCGGCCAACUAAGUCGGACGUGAAAUCCCCAGGCUCAACCUGGAAACUGCGUCCGAUACUGGAUGGCUUGAAUCCGGGAGAGGGAUGCAGAAUUCCAGGUGUAGCGGUGAAAUGCGUAGAUAUCUGGAGGAAUACCGGUGGCGAAGGCGGCAGCCUGGACCGGCAUUGACGCUGAGGAGCGAAAGCCAGGGGAGCAAACGGG